GGGAAUUUAGGUUAACAUAUUUUAAACCCAGAACCUUCAAAAUUCUAAACGAAAACA
rnacentral:tRNA from 1 species